rnacentral:rRNA from 1 species
CGUGUAGGCGGAUUGGAACGUCGGCGCCUGAAAUCCCCCGGCUCAACCGGGAACGUGGCCCGAAACGACCAGUCUGGAGGGACGUAGGGGGGACUGGAACUUCCGGUGGAGCGGUGAAAUGCGUUGAGAUCGGAAGGAACGCCCGUGGCGAAAGCGAGUCCCUGGACGUCUACUGACGCUGAGACGCGAAAGCUAGGGGAGCGAACG